UCCCCCACUAAGAGCUACCAGGCUAGCUCUUUCCUAUAAACGCUAGCUUAGAUAAAGGCUUUAUCUUCAGACAAUUGGUAAAAUAUUAAAGCUGUUCCUUUGACCGUGUGGGGUUAAAGUAGAGCCGACUGGUUUUACCCUAAUUACUGAAUUUAAGAAGCUAAGUUUUGCUGACAAAGCUGAAACAAGUCAGCAGCCAAACACAAAGGGAACUCAACUUGGGGCUAGCAGGAGUUAAUGUCGCUAGCUUGUAUUUUGACAGCUUCAUAACAAGUUUGAUGCAAAUGACACGCUCACGGGUAGGUGGGUUCGCGAGUUUUACUAACUGCCCGUAACACCGCGUGGAUGUCAGGUUAACUGCCGUUACUAUCUUGCCGUAAAUAAAACAUUAGUGGGAGCUUGGGGCCAGAGCUACAGCUACUAGCCAACUAGCAGAGUUAGCUAGCUAGCUAGCCCCGGUUAAAAAGAAAGGAGACCGGCUUACAUGUUCCUCUGAGUUUCUCUCUUUUCUCGAUGACGAGCGCGUCCUGGAGGAGAUGAAGGUGCCGCUCCGUGUCCGGGGGCUCUUCCUCGUCUUCUCCAUGUUUUCUCCUGUGAAGUGUCCUCACUGAAUCUCUGUAACCGGCUCCAAACACCGCUUCAGUGAGCGCAGCAUCGAGGCGCCAUUUCUCCCUGUCUAUCUGCUCCCUCCCAGGCUGCUCUCACUGCUUUGGGCAGGAAAGUUAAAUGUUUGCUGUUGCUUCUUCUUCUUCUUGAGUUUAUUGGCUAUUGGCAAACAACUCUUGGGUGUGCAUUACCUCCACCAACUGAAUAUCCACUAUAUCCAAUUUAACUUUCUCCCAUGUCUCAGCAUCAUGAGAAGGAUUAGGGAAGCAGAAGCCAAGCUGUGUGAGGUUUUUACAUGCAACCAUUUUUUAAAUCCCAGCGCUGCGUAAAAUGCAUAAAUGACCCCUCACACCCCCACUAUGGACUGUUCUCCAUGCUGCCCUCUAGGAGGAGGCUUCGAAGCAUCCGAUGCAGGUCCAGCUGAUUCCCAAACAGCUUCUUCCCCUCAGCCACCAGACUGCUAAUUGUUGAAUAAAAAAAAAAAUAGAAUAAAAGCUGAAUGUGGA